AGAGUUUGAUCAUGGCUCAGAUUGAACGCUGGCGGCAGGCCUAACACAUGCAAGUCGAACGGUAACAGGAAACAGCUUGCUGUUUCGCUGACGAGUGGCGGACGGGUGAGUAAUGUCUGGGAAACUGCCUGAUGGAGGGGGAUAACUACUGGAAACGGUAGCUAAUACCGCAUAACGUCGCAAGACCAAAGAGGGGGACCUUCGGGCCUCUUGCCAUCAGAUGUGCCCAGAUGGGAUUAGCUAGUAGGUGGGGUAACGGCUCACCUAGGCGACGAUCCCUAGCUGGUCUGAGAGGAUGACCAGCCUCACUGGAACUGAGACACGGUCCAGACUCCUACGGGAGGCAGCAGUGGGGAAUAUUGCACAAUGGGCGCAAGCCUGAUGCAGCCAUGCCGCGUGUAUGAAGAAGGCCUUCGGGUUGUAAAGUACUUUCAGCGGGGAGGAAGGGAGUAAAGUUAAUACCUUUGCUCAUUGACGUUACCCGCAGAAGAAGCACCGGCUAACUCCGUGCCAGCAGCCGCGGUAAUACGGAGGGUGCAAGCGUUAAUCGGAAUUACUGGGCGUAAAGCGCACGCAGGCGGUUUGUUAAGUCAGAUGUGAAAUCCCCGGGCUCAACCUGGGAACUGCAUCUGAUACUGGCAAGCUUGAGUCUCGUAGAGGGGGGUAGAAUUCCAGGUGUAGCGGUGAAAUGCGUAGAGAUCUGGAGGAAUACCGGUGGCGAAGGCGGCCCCCUGGACGAAGACUGACGCUCAGGUGCGAAAGCGUGGGGAGCAAACAGGAUUAGAUACCCUGGUAGUCCACGCCGUAAACGAUGUCGACUUGGAGGUUGUGCCCUUGAGGCGUGGCUUCCGGAGCUAACGCGUUAAGUCGACCGCCUGGGGAGUACGGCCGCAAGGUUAAAACUCAAAUGAAUUGACGGGGGCCCGCACAAGCGGUGGAGCAUGUGGUUUAAUUCGAUGCAACGCGAAGAACCUUACCUGGUCUUGACAUCCACGGAAGUUUUCAGAGAUGAGAAUGUGCCUUCGGGAACCGUGAGACAGGUGCUGCAUGGCUGUCGUCAGCUCGUGUUGUGAAAUGUUGGGUUAAGUCCCGCAACGAGCGCAACCCUUAUCCUUUGUUGCCAGCGGUCCGGCCGGGAACUCAAAGGAGACUGCCAGUGAUAAACUGGAGGAAGGUGGGGAUGACGUCAAGUCAUCAUGGCCCUUACGACCAGGGCUACACACGUGCUACAAUGGCGCAUACAAAGAGAAGCGACCUCGCGAGAGCAAGCGGACCUCAUAAAGUGCGUCGUAGUCCGGAUUGGAGUCUGCAACUCGACUCCAUGAAGUCGGAAUCGCUAGUAAUCGUGGAUCAGAAUGCCACGGUGAAUACGUUCCCGGGCCUUGUACACACCGCCCGUCACACCAUGGGAGUGGGUUGCAAAAGAAGUAGGUAGCUUAACCUUCGGGAGGGCGCUUACCACUUUGUGAUUCAUGACUGGGGUGGAGUCGUAACAAGGUAACCGUAGGGGAACCUGCGGUUG
rnacentral:rRNA from 1 species